GACAGAGGCCUCGAGCGUUAGGCGGAAUCACUGGGCUUAAAGCGUGUGUAGGCGGAUCGUUAAGUACCUUGUGAAAUCCCACGGCUCAACCGUGGAACGGCUGGGUAUACUGGCGGUCUUGGGCCAUUCAGGGGCGACUGGAACAAGCGGUGGAGCGGUGAAAUGCGUAGAUAUCUGGAGGAACACCGGUGGCGAAGGCGGCAUCCUGGACCGACACUGACGCUGAGGAGCGAAAGCCAGGGGAGCAAACGGG
rnacentral:rRNA from 1 species